rnacentral:pre_miRNA from 1 species
AGGGAAAUUGCUGGGCCAUAUAGUCACAACUCUACAUUUAAUUUUUGAGGAACUGCCAAACUGUUUGCUAAAGUGAGGGUACCAUUUUCCAUUCCCACCAGCAAU